UACGGGGGGGGGCAAGCGUUGUUCGGAAUUACUGGGCGUAAAGGGCUCGUAGGCGGCCAACUAAGUCGGAUGUGAAAUCCCCAGGCUCAACUUGGGAACUGCAUCCGAUACUGGAUGGCUUGAAUUCGGGAGAGGGAUGCAGAAUUCCAGGUGUAGCGGUGAAAUGCGUAGAUAUCUGGAGGACCACCGGUGGCGAAGGCGGCGUUCUGGACUGCUACUGACACUGAGGAGCGAAAGCCAGGGGAGCAAACGGG
rnacentral:rRNA from 1 species